rnacentral:rRNA from 1 species
UACGUAGGGGGCAAGCGUUGUCCGGAAUCAUUGGGCGGAAAGCGCGUGUAGGCGGUUCGGUAAGUCUGCUGUGAAAGUCCAGGGCUCAACCCUGGGAUGCCGGUGGAUACUGUCGGACUAGAGUACGGAAGAGGCGAGUGGAAUUCCCGGUGUAGCGGUGAAAUGCGCAGAUAUCGGGAGGAACACCAAUUUCGAAGGCAGCUCGCUGGGACGUUACUGACGCUGAGACGCGAAAGCGUGGGGAGCAAACAGG